rnacentral:rRNA from 1 species
UACGUAGGGCGCAAGCGUUAAUCGGAAUUACUGGGCGUAAAGCGUGCGCAGGCGGUUCCAUAAGACAGAUGUGAAAUCUCCGGGCUCAACCUGGGAACUGCAUUUGUGACUGUGAGGCUAGAGUACGGUAGAGGGGGAUGGAAUUCCGCGUGUAGCAGUGAAAUGCGUAGAUAUGCGGAGGAACACCAAUGGCGAAGGCAAUCCCCUGGACCUGUACUGACGCUCAUGCACGAAAGCGUGGGGAGCAAACAGG